rnacentral:rRNA from 1 species
CGCGUAGGAAUCUACCCAGUAGUGGGGGACAACCUGGUGAAAACCAGGCUAAUACCGCAUACGCCCUAUGGGGGAAAGGUGAGGGACCUUCGGGCCGUCACGCUAUUGGAUGAGCCUGCGUAAGAUUAGCUAGUUGGUGGGGUAAAGGCCUACCAAGGCGACGAUCUUUAGCUGGUCUGAGAGGAUGAUCAGCCACACUGGGACUGAGACACGGCCCAGACUCCUACGGGAGGCAGCAGUGGGGAAUAUUGCGCAAUGGGGGCAACCCUGACGCAGCCAUGCCGCGUGUGUGAAGAAGGC